rnacentral:rRNA from 1 species
UAAGGAGGGGGCAAGCGUUGUUCGGAAUUACUGGGCGUAAAGGGCGUGUAGAGGGAUCUGCCAGUCAGAGGUGAAAGCCCCGGGCUCAACCUGGGAACGGCCUUUGAUACUGCAGAUCUAGAGUCCGGGAGAGGAUCGUGGAAUUCCCAGUUUAGAGGUGAAAUUCGUAUAUAUUGGGAAGAACACCAGUGGCGAAGGCGGCGAUCUGGACCGGUACUGACGCUGAGGCGCGAAAGCGUGGGGAGCAAACAGG